rnacentral:rRNA from 1 species
AUUGAACGCUGGCGGAAUGCUUUACACAUGCAAGUCGAACGGCAGCACGGACUUCGGUCUGGUGGCGAGUGGCGAACGGGUGAGUAAUGUAUCGGAACGUGCCCAGUCGUGGGGGAUAACGUAGUGAAAAUUACGCUAAUACCGCAUACGAUCUAUGGAUGAAAGCGGGGGAUCGCAAGACCUCGCGCGAUUGGAGCGGCCGAUAUCAGAUUAGGUAGUUGGUGGGGUAAAGGCCCACCAAGCCAACGAUCUGUAGCUGGUCUGAGAGGACGACCAGCCACACUGGAACUGAGACACGGUCCAGACGCCUACGGGAGGCAGCAGUGGGGAAUUUUGGACAAUGGGCGAAAGCCUGAUUCAGCCAUUCCGCGUGCAGGAUGAAGGCCCUCGGGUUGUAAACUGCUUUUGUACAGAACGAAGAGGUUUCUACUAAUACUAGGAGCUCAUGACGGUACUGUAAGAAUAAGCACCGGCUAACUACGUGCCAGCCGCCGCAGUAA